rnacentral:rRNA from 1 species
GAUGAACGCUGGCGGCGUGCCUAAUACAUGCAAGUCGAGCGAACGGACGAGAAGCUUGCUUCUCUGAUGUUAGCGGCGGACGGGUGAGUAACACGUGGAUAACCUACCUAUAAGACUGGGAUAACUUCGGGAAACCGGAUCUAAUACCGGAUGAUAUUUUGAACCGCAUGGUUCAAAAGUGAAAGACGGUCUUGCUGUCACUUAUAGAUGGAUCCGCGCUGCAUUAGCUAGUUGGUAAGGUAACGGCUUACCAAGGCAACGAUGCAUAGCCGACCUGAGAGGGUGAUCGGCCACACUGGAACUGAGACACGGUCCAGACUCCUACGGGAGGCAGCAGUAGGGAAUCUUCCGCAAUGGGCGAAAGCCUGACGGAGCAACGCCGCGUGAGUGAUGAAGGUCUUCGGAUCGUAAAACUCUGUUAUUAGGGAAGAACAUAUGUGUAAGUAGCUGUGCACAUCUUGACGGUACCUAAUCAGAAAGCCACGGCUAACUACGUG